GCGGAAGUGACGCCACACGCUCCGGGCGUUCGAGCUAAGCCCGUGGCCAAUCAGAGCCGCCCGUGUGGGCAGGUGAUUCCUUUUCCUGGUUGCGCGAGGUCGCUGCGUGCCGCCUUGGCUGCGGCGGUUUGUGCGCCACUCGGUUGGGUUUCUCUUGGGAGUUUGGUCCCAGGGGAAAGGGAUUUAGACCCAGUCGCUGUGUUUUAGAGUUUCUAUCGGUGGUUUGAUUUUUUUUCUUGUUUUAUACACACACGAAGAUGGUCUCGUGACCCUUAUGCACUUGGCGAAUGCGUGACUCUUGGCUCCUACGGAGCAUCCGAGGUCUCAAGAGUUAAAUUUGUUAAGGUUCUUCACAGAGAACUAGAGUCAGGGAAUCCCACCUCGCCGAAUGACUCCCAUCAAGAGUCCUUGAGCCUUUCUCACAGAUGUGUCCAGCCGGAAGUCGUAGACUGCCUCAUUACUCACCUAAGAUUGGGUCCGUUUUUCAGAGAUUGCCAGAAUAAUUCCAUCAGUGCACCUCUGCUCCUGACUGCCAUGAGGGGAGCAGCCUCCUCAGCUACAAACUCAACUGAGUGCCAUCCAAAGUGCCAAGAUCUGAUGACAUUUUUCAUCCUAUUUGAUUUCUGGUUGUGUUGCAUCUACUCAUUUAUUCUUUCCUGGAAGUCUUUGGGUUACAAAGUUUCAAGGCAGAAGAUCUUGCUUUCAGCAACACCUGCACAGAGGAGGUAGAAACGGAAGACAGGAUGUUGGGGUAAUAGGCAAUAGGUUGAAAGCAAUUGCUCCCCAAACUGAAUCCUAUUGAUCACUGCUCAGAGGGAAAUCCAGUCAGUUCCACAUGUAGUCCCAUCUUGCAGCCAACAUUAUGCAAGUGACUAAAACUUUGGGUUCUUUGAGGAAAUUGGAGUGGGGACAACAGAGAGAGACUCAAGAUGUUAGCAGUAUGCACUAAUGCCAAAGGAAUGGAAUAAGGAAAAGGAGCCAUGUUGAUUCACCAGGCUGAUGGCCAGGUUCUGAGGAAGCAGUAACUUAAGUGGGAUCAGUGAUGCAGAGAAAAUGUCUCAAGUUGGUGUGCUAUAAAAAUA